GAUCAAGCUACAAAGGGCACAUGGAGAAUGCCUUGGCACCAGAAGCCGAUGAAGGACGCGAUAAGCUGCGAUAAGCUCCGAGUAGGCGCAAAUAGCCUGAGA
rnacentral:rRNA from 1 species